rnacentral:lncRNA from 1 species
CAAGCAGCACCCUGUGGCACCCCAGCCAUGUCCACAACAUGCAGAGAUCUUUUGUUCAAGGCUUUGGAGGAGGAUUUAACCAAGGGACCAAAAUUGCUGUGAUGUCCUCCCCACUGAAAGCUGUAGGCAGUGUAAUGAUGAAGAAAACAAGUGGAAGAAGUUUCUAAGGACUUUAUGUGAAUGGGAUGGAAGUGUGUACCCAACUGAAACGGCUCAUGUGUGUGAGCCCACAUCUGAAGAGCAGGACAGCUUCAUCUUCCCAGUCACCAUGUGAGGAAUUCAGUGAGGAACAGACAGACCGAGGGGAUCUGCUUCCAAAUGACAUUCAAGGAUGAGAAGGGUGACCGGAAUUGGGGUGUUGGUGGAGUAUAGGUCUUAGAUACGUCACCAGAGACCCUGGUAGACACUGGAAAUGCAUUGUACU